AUGGUUUCGUGAUAGCACAAUAAUCACCAGAAUAACUAUAGUUGUACCACUGUAAUGAUAGUGUUUUAAUGUGCUUUUAUAUGACAUAUUUCACAGUAAUCACAUUUACUGUACCAUGCUUGUAAUACCUUUUUAAUGUAAAUCAAAAAAAAAAAAAAAAAAACAUUUUUCCCAUCUUGCAGUUCAUUCAUAUUAGUUUAUAUCUUAAAUAUUUUGCUCACAGAUCACUAUUAACAUUCUGUAUAUAAUUCUGUUUUAUUUUCUCUCCCCUUGUAUUUAUUUUUUAGCUGAAAAGACGUAAAGGAAGCAGUCAGCCCAGUGGUGUUUGUGAAGAGGUAUUCCUUCAGAAAUGGAGAAGGCAGAAAGCUGCAGAGGCAGUAUUGUUUGCAGAUAAUGCUGCUCUUCUUUUCCAGAAGUUUUUGGUGAGCCAACCCUCACACACCUUCCUAAAAACUAAAAGAGCUAUUACUGAGUCUCAGCGAAUCUUGCCAUGAUCAGCUCUUCCCAGAAGAUAAGGAAGACCAAGGAAAUGAUUUGAUCAGGAUGAGGAAUGAAGACGGCCAUCUUGUGCUCAAGCAAACAGAAGUCCUCUGAUGGUCUCAUCAGCCAAAUGAGGGGUUUUGACCAAGUGAUGCUCUUGAAAGGAGUGAAAGAAGAGGAUGUGGUAAAUUGUCUUCAGAGAAAAAGCUUCUCAAAAGGUCUCAAAACAGCUUGAAGAAUGGUCUGGGAUGUUAGGACUGAGAGAUCCUCUGGCUGAGAACAAGCUACACCACAUCAGUGCUGGAUAUCAACCACAAACUGUUUCCAGACACAAGAGAAGAAGAUCAUGACAUGAAACCAGUUUAGAUGUGAUGAUGGGAAUCAUUAUUUUCUGAAACCGUGUCAAAUGUCUUAUAUGUAUCACAUGAUCUGUGUCAGUUGACUGGAUGGGAUUGUGUGUCUUUUAAGGACAUUUCAUCACUCAUCUGUGUGAACUGAUUAAUAUAUGAGGUUAAUGUAUUUUUUAU